GGAGGAAAAGAAACCAACAGGGAUUGCCUUAGUAGCGGCGAGUGAAGCGGCAAAAGCUCAAAUUUGAAAUCUGGCUCUUUCAGAGUCCGAGUUGUAAUUUGAAGAAGGUAUCUUUGGGUCUGGCUCUUGUCUAUGUUUCUUGGAACAGAACGUCACAGAGGGUGAGAAUCCCGUGCGAUGAGAUGAUCCAGGCCUAUGUAAAGUUCCUUCGAAGAGUCGAGUUGUUUGGGAAUGCAGCUCUAAGUGGGUGGUAAAUUCCAUCUAAAGCUAAAUAUUGGCGAGAGACCGAUAGCGAACAAGUACAGUGAUGGAAAGAUGAAAAGAACUUUGAAAAGAGAGUGAAAAAGUACGUGAAAUUGUUGAAAGGGAAGGGCUUGAGAUCAGACUUGGUAUUUUGUAUGUUACUUCUUCGGGGGUGGCCUCUACAGUUUAUCGGGCCAGCAUCAGUUUGGGCGGUAGGAGAAUUGCGUUGGAAUGUGGCACGGCUUCGGUUGUGUGUUAUAGCCUUCGUCGAUACUGCCAGCCUAGACUGAGGACUGCGGUUUAUACCUAGGAUGUUGGCAUAAUGAUCUUAAGUCGCCCGUCU
rnacentral:rRNA from 1 species